rnacentral:lncRNA from 1 species
AGAAACCCUCUCUUUCUCUCUCUAAAUAUCUCUCUCAUCUCUCUAUAUUUCUCGCCCAAAUUCGCGGCGUUGGUGGAGAUCGAGCUUGCGAACGCGUUGGAGGCGACGGAUUGAGCUUUCGUGCGCCCGUUGGAGCGGCGUGUUUUCGUUGCGGCGUUCACAUUGGGGUAAGCUUUUGGGAUUUGGCUUAAUCCUUAGCUUUAAGUGUUCUAUUAGCCUCUAAUGAUCAUUAGUAAGCAUAUUGAUCCAUUUAAUUUGGAUUAUUUGGAGGUUAAUUGUACGUUAGGGCUCCGAAUGGGAUUUUGUAAAAUGUAAGGGUUUGAUCUCAUUUGACCCUUCGUAAACCUAAUUGCUAGGUAACGAAACGCGUUGGCGAAGACGGUUCGGUAAUUCGACGAGCCGUUACAAAGUUAUUAAAGAAAUAGACGUUUAGGCUUCGGGUCCGCCGGGAGGGCCGAUGCGACGUCGUAAAAUCAUGGAAAUGGAUUUGAGGCAUCGUGGCACAUAACCGAAGACCUAUAAUUUCCGGAUUUGUAAAGCGGAACACGGUUGAGGCGCAAGAUCUUGUCGGGCCCAAAGGGUGCCGAGUGCCGCGGGAGGCCGAUUGCAAGUGACGACAAGCAAUCGGAACGCGAGUUAAGGUGGGUUGUGCUUACCGAAGCGACUAGGUCGCCCUUUAUGUCUUAGCAAUGUAAUCUCAUGUUGAUGCAUGUGCAUGUAGACAAGAGCAAGGAUGCAUGUUAAUAAAGAUGCAUAAAGUAGAUGCUAAGUAGAAAGCAUGAUAAAUGGUAAUGCUUAGAGCAAAUGCAUAUUAAUAACAAUGCAUAGUGGAGCAUAAUGAUUAUGGCAUUAGAUAAUGCUAGCUAAUGUAAAGUAAUGCAUGAUAAUGAUAAUGCAUAGAUGAAAAUGCUUAGUAGAAAUGCAUGGUGAGCAAGUUACACAAUGCUAAUAAUGCAUGAUAAUAAUGUAAUGCUAAGUAAUGCAUGAUAUGAAGUAAAUGCAUAUUAAUAAUAAUGCAUGAUGAGGAUGCUAAGUAAGGGAUGCAUGUUAGUAAUGAUGCAAAGAGUAAUUGCUAAGUAGAAAGCAUGAUGCAUGGUAUAUGUAUAUAAACCAGAUGAUAACUCUAGGAUGAGUAGAGAUGACUGGACAACUAAGUUGUCAGGUAGAUCGAGUGGCAUCUAACCUAGUGUUAAAGAACAUAGGUUGGUUAGUAAACCUAGAGUUGAACAAUCUAGGUGUGUGGCAUCUAACCUAGUGUUAGUAAACCUAGGUUGAACUAGUAAACCUAGAAGUGGAUAUCUAGGCAAAGAUGAUAAGAACCUAGCAAGUGUAUCUAGGUUAAGUGAUGUGGACAUAGAACCUAGAGUGUUGGAACCUAGGUUGAUGAGUAUAGUGGUAUAGCCACUAGAUUGAGCUAGGUCGACAGUAUAGGGUUGGCUAUGAACCCUCGACCUGUGGUAAGUGGAUUCCGGAAUCCCAGGACUUAUGAUGUCCCUGGUACAGGCUAGGGCGUUCGUGCGACGAUUUCGCCGCCGAGCUUGGUACCGUGGGUAGAUUGGGGGCGAUCACAUGGAGAUCACCGCCCGGGGCUUGAACCAUUGUGCUGGCGUUUGUGCGACGAUUUCGCCGCCAGAGUGGUUAAGCCAUUUGAGGAUCAGACCGCCAGAGUAGACUGAAUCCAUGCUGGGUAAGUACGAUGCGGGUGCCUCCAGGUGACUGAGUCUGACAUGAUCGUUGUUGGGUGUGGUGCGACCCGUUCGCCGCCAGACGGUAUGUCAUGUCUCGAGCUCACGCUGGGUAUGUGCAACGCGAUCGCCACCGAUGGUCAAGUCUUGUGACUCGAGCCGUCUUCA